rnacentral:rRNA from 1 species
GUAUGUGGCUUAAUUUGACUCAACGCGGAAAAGCUUAUCUGGUCCGGACACAGUGAGGAUUGACAGACAGUUGGCAGGAGUGGUUCUUGGUAAAAACAAAUGAGAGAGUUGAAGUUCUUUCAUGAUCUUGUGAGAGGUGGUGCAUGGCCGUUCUUAGUUCGUGUAGUGAUAUGUCUGCCUAAUCGCGUCACGAUAACCUAUUGGUCGACAACCCAAUUAUCACAACUGCAGCAUAACUCCCCUUGGGUGGGCGAGGCUCUGUGUAGGAUAGACCUCUGAACAGUACGCAACGAACGCGAUCGUAAUCCCUUGUUGAGUGGCCAUCCUGUAAGCUGCUGGAUUUGAAACCCAGUGGUAUUAUCUCAGCCACAGAUUUUCUGGUUGUAAUGGGCCAGUUUUGAAACUCGGGGAACAUCUGUGACUUUCUUUCUUAACGCAGA